GAUGUACCUGUGUCAGCCAGUUCAUUGCAAGAAUGGGUUCUUGUUGAUGGUGCUUCAAAGCAAAGUAAUAUCUACUUAUUCUCAUUAUCUUUGCAGGGAAAUGAUCCUUCUUGCAUGCGUUAGUUCCUCCUACCAACUCUAAACAUGAAUUCAUCACAUGGAAAUAUUGGGCUGCAAAUGCUAGAUAGGAACUGGGGUGCAGGAUGGCAUCUGCUAUCAGUGCUUCUUGCAGCUAACCUGUUGAUAGAAUAAGAUGUUUAAGACAUCAAUUCUAUGUGGGCCAAGAUGACGUGUCAAUCCAUCAAUGGAUAUCAUCAUACGGAGUCAUUCAAUUGAGUGUAUUUACUAGAAGUGUUGAUAGGUACAUGUGUUUGCUUAAUUCCUUUUUACUUUUUUCUUUUUCAAACAAAGUUCCGUUCACCUAUCUGGUUUAUUAAACCAUUAUGAUUGACAA